rnacentral:lncRNA from 1 species
GACAGACAGACACAGAGAGUCAAACAGAAGGACAGACAGAUAUACCUUUGAGCUGUUGAGUGGUGUGCUCUUCUUGUUGGUGUUUGUGGGUUAAGGGCCCUGUGAUCAGGAGAGAUGACACCGGCGUCGACCGGAUGGGUCGGCUUGACUAGGCCAUGUACCCGCCCGGUCCAAGUCGGUGUCAGCUCGCCUGAACAUAGGGCUCACUAUCCCUGUAAAUGGUGUAAUGGAGCAACUGCAACUUCCUCCUCUCCGGCCUGCUCUUUUUGUCUUCCCUCGCAGGUCAGGUCAGCUGGGGAUGCGGCCGUUCUGCCAUGCCAUGCCAUGGCAUGAGACGCAGCGCACCGGCCGAUGGUGGAGCUAGGCAGUCAGCAGAUGGCCACACACAAGCGCAAGGUCGAAUGGGUCGCCCUGGAAGCAUGGCAUUAACUUGAGCUCCACUGCGUUUUUUCUCUCUUUCGGUUAGUGUUUUAGUUUAGAUACCUGUAUAUUUUCUAGUAGUAAUUUUGCUCCUGUGGUCAGUUCCAUGUUGCUAUCGUUUCCAGUUUCCUACCGCAGGAGAAUGUAGGCAGCCAAUUUUGGCUGCUUUUAUCCUUGGGCUUUUUCUGAUCGCAGCGAGGUUGUUGGUCUGCACUCUGUCCUCUGCUGGAUGGUCAAGGCUGGUCGCUUGAUUUUGUGGCGAAUCUUGCAUCCUUACUUCUGCUUUGCCUUUUCCACUCUAUAGACCUCGGCUUAACUAUGCUGAAAGCUUUCUCGACCGAAAAUUCAAUGGUUAGGUCCAGCCCUGUUUUGUCUUCUCCAUCGAAAAUUCAAUGGCCCUGUUUCGUCUUCUCUGCAGCGGAGCCACAUUAUUGAUGCCGACUCUGCCGCUUCUCAGCGACAUGGUGAAAGGGGAUAUCGCUCAAGAAUGCUUAAAUUGACUCAAAGAUACCGAAUCAUGUUUCCAACAUUUGACAUACUCACACAUGCCUGGUAUGGUUCACCAGUGAGUGCUAAUGGAGGCCCCUUGAGGCCAUAGCAUAGAUUUUCAGAGCUGUGGUGGUACCCACCUGCUUCCCACCCCGGGUCACCAGUAUUCCGGGCUCGUAUUUAGAGGAAAUGGGGUCCUGCCCGUCUUCAUUUUUCAUUGAAAAUGAAACCAAACAGCAUCCAUCAUGCAGUAGUUUACAGCUCGCGAGGGACGACUGAAUGCUGACACCAGCAGAACAUAAACAACCAAAAAUCCAUACAAAAACUAGAAAUCCACAGGGUUCAGAGGUAACGAGAAGAUCAGAUUAUUACAUCACCCAGCAAACACACAACACAAGGCUGAAGUGUUUGUAUCAGGACAUGAACAUCAAUGCCAGUAAAAGAGCUAAUGACCUUCCAAAUUUCUACCCCUACACCACACCCAAAAACAGAUGCACGCAUGUUUCUGUUUCACACGAGACUAAAGGCUGGUGACAACAUCUAAAUGUUGUUUCUUGACCAAGUUAUCUAUACUAAGCAAUUCAUUGUGAGAUAGAAGCCACAUGAAAAUAUCGAUUUUAGGAGGUACGUCGAGUUGCCAAAUAGCUGGCACAUGUACAGGAGCAAUUCCACUAAAAUUAAUCAAAGCAUAAAUGCAUCUAGCAGAAUAGAUACCAUUAGAUUGAAGUUUCCAAAUAAUAACAUCUUCCUCAUCAUUUAUUUAACUACAAAGACCGAGCAAUGCUAACUAAAUCAAACCAUAGCAAAAGUCGUUUAUUGUCAACACAUCUCCUGAAAGUAAUUUUCAGGUUGGGCCCAUCCCAUACAUCAGCUAUGGCAAGAUUCCAAAAAUUUAACCUUUUUACCACAAUCCACUUUUCACUGAUAACCCAUUUUAGCUGCCUUAGCAGCCCACAGAACACCUUUCCAGAAGGAUGAAGUGUUUGUAUCAGGGCAUAAAAAACAUACGAUAAAUUCAUCCCGAAUUCCUAUUUAGACUUCGAUUCUUUUACUGAAACCAUAGGGUGUCUCUUGUACGGUAGAGCCACCUGACCAGGCAGCAAAAAUGUUCACACCUGGGACCUGGCGCAAUGACGUCAAACUUGAGAAACCCGCCACCAUCGUCAGCCAGUUCGUGUGAGCUUGUGGUUGUGGUGUUUGUGGCAAUUGAGUGACUUGUGACACUACUAUGGUGCAAGGAGUAGUUGUGUGUGUACCUGUUAGGCUCUUCUUCCGGCGAUCUCCAUUCGAAGUCUCGGUGAGAUACGCAUUUCUGCAUAUGCUUAACCCCUUGGGCAUUCACAGCUCCACUAUUUAGCCUUUCAAAUCAAACAAGAAAUGGAAUGGCCACCACUAUCCUUUUGCCUUUUUUCUUACGGCCCAAACUUGUCCUUCUCCAUAGCACAAACAAAUGCUCAAGCUUUCAGUCGGCGUUCUAGCCGUGUCCGUCCCCGCAUACCAGCAAUAGCACAUUAUAGCAGGUGAGGCUAUCUCAGUCACCAAGACAGGCACCGUAUAAUUCACUGCAACUCUGAUCAAAUUUAGGAUGAAAUCGCGAUCAUCCAAAACAAAUUCCCAACCCAAGUAUGCCAAGAAGAAGAGUAGUACAUAGCCACAUGGGCGUGGAUUAAACUUUUCAAAUGAAUAUACAUACAAGCUUUGCAUUGUUCUGAACAAUGUGACUAGGAUCAAUUUACACAGUUAAGUAUGACCAUUGGCAGGUUAUAUGACUUCUGUGCUACUUCUGGUUUAUACUCAACGCCUUGUUGAGUAACCUUCUCUGUUGGUCCCUAAACUUCUCCCAGACUACACAGUAUAUAAGUGGAUUGGUCGUGUCUGAAUUUGUUUCCCACGUGCCAUAUACGAAUAUACGGUUGUUAGCACCUUCACAGAAUAUAUGCAGGACUGGUGAUCAGAUUUCUAUGGUGCAAGGUGUGCUACCAGCAAGAGUUAGGCAAGAAGAGGCUCCACUAGAGGUCUCCGUCGAGCUUCAGGGAGGUCCAUGGUAUGAGCUACUAUGGCUGAAAGCAGCGAGAAGACAGCUGGAACUAGCCCCAGACCAAGCCUCGUAACGGAGUAGCCAUAUGCCAAUUCUCGGUUCUCACUGAUCUUGGUGGUUCCUGCCAUGCAAAAGAUGAAAAUCUCAUUGUGUAUCAAAUUCACUUGUUGUGAAUAAUCAUCAGUGCCAAGGUACCGGUAAGUAACACUACCUUGAUAGGACUCAAGGAUAUACAACGCGAUGCCACAUGACACUUUGUCAAUAAAACUUAAAGAGCCGUACACAAAAGCACAACCAUUUAGAUCUUCUCCUACUAAAACACCUUCCAUGCUGAUACUUGUGACCUGUGAUCAAAGGAGACCGAAGAGAUAAGAGUGAUGAAAAGUGAGCUGCCAGCCUAUAACAUGAUUAUGCAUCACAUGCCCAAAUGUAGACAUAUUCAAUUGCAAAUCUUCAAGAGGCUAUGAAAUGCUCACAGCAAGCCAUAUACCAAAUGGAUAUAUAUGUCAGAGUUGUACAAGCCGACGUGGCUAACAACUACAUAUAAGAUAUAACAUAUACUUCUAAGCCAAAGACAUAGGAAUAUUUCACCAUGAAUUUGUACCUGUAUCAUUGUAUAUUAUACUAAAUUAACUCUUUAAACCGAAUCAAGGAUAGAAACAUACUGUCAUAAGAGCAUUGGCGGCUCCUAUCGUGAUUGACAGGGGAUACAUGAAGUUGUGCAUUCUGCUUGGUAAAAGAACAAUUCCAAUACCAGACAAUAUCCAAAUCAUUGCUCCAGCUGAGAAGUAGUUUUUUAGACGCCAACCCGACCAUCUAGUCUCCUAUAAAAAAUAUAGAAUUCCAUUGAGUUGGUUCCUCCAAAGAAAUAUGCUCCCCAUUGAGUUGAGGAAGAAAAUUAAUUAAUUAAACUCUAAGAAGAUAGUCGGACCUGUAACAUGACAGAUACUACCAAGCUGCAUACAUAGAUAAUAGCAGGUACCUGAAAAACAAAAUGAGGAAACAAUAGUUCAUGGAAAUUUAAUUUUAUGAAACGUAUCAAGAAACUAUCUAGAUUAAUCACCAAUAUGAACUGGAUUGCAGACCUCAAUGAAAAAAAAAAGAGGAAAAUAUCACCGGGUAGUAUCCCUUUCAGCAUUUAGAUUAUAUUGAGAGUGAGCAUUUAAGUGCCUAGUAUCCCUUUCAGCAUUUAGAUUAUAUUGAGAGUGAGCAUUUAAGUGCCUGAUUGGACGACAUGUAUAGUGUAACUAAUGCAAAGCAAGCUUACAAAAUUUCACACCUGCAUCAUAAGUCCUAUUAUUUUUCUUCUAAUUCAGGCUUUUAUAUUGUAUAAUAGCACAUGUAUCACAUGAGUUCAACUUGCCCAAGGACAUAAUCAACAUCAGGACGAAAAAAUCAUAGGAAAGCUAUUCCAAGAGCAAAAGGGGGAAGAAAAUCUUACCAGCGCUUUGGAUGAUUGGUGCAUUCCCAAAUCAUUUAUCACGUAGAAAGCAAGAAAUGCCUGGUCAAAUGUAUACAAACAUUAUAAAUGAUCUGCUAUCCAGUUGAAAUUCAAACUUCAAAGAAUUAAGGUGGUAAAAUGAAAUUAUACAGAAAAAAAAAUACUGUAAUAUAAUAAUAUAUAUACAAACAAUGCACACAACAUUAAAAAAAUGCCAUUUAUGCGGGAAACAUAUUUGAUAUCCAAUCUAUCCUUGACUGUGUAAGACAUAUAUUAAAUUAUGAGAAUACCUAGGAGGAACUAGAUGUCUUUUGUUUAAUGAAGAAAAGACCCCAUCGAGCAGAAGAAAGCUAGAAUUUGGGUGGUGAGAUUUUACAUCCAUUCCCUCACCCCACUGAGCUAGGCUCAGUUCCUUUAUUAUAUGAAGGUACGCUAAUAUACGAAUAUAUAUAUACAACUGGGGCACCUAGGUGCCUGGGCACCUAGCCGGUCUUUCAUUAAUGGAUCGUGGAUCCAAAUGCAUUAAAUUUUGCAUGCAAGAUUUUUCCAUAUAUGAUAUUAUUUCCCUUCCAAAGUUAGCACGUAUGCAUUUGUUUCCAAAUAAUACACGCAUGCACAACUUUCCUUGCAUGCAUGAUCUCCAUCUGAUUCUUUCCAAAAUAAAAGCAUGUACAUACAAAAUCAAUAUACACAAAUGUGAAAUAUCCAGAAUUUUGUGAGUAUGGACUAUCGUUCCCCGCAAAAAAAAAAAGAGUAUGGACUAUCGUUCCAAUAUACUCAGACAAAUCUGACAUUUAGAUAUCAUAAAGACAAAUUUAUGAGUAUGUACACAUAUUAUAUUUUUUAUCAUAUUCUCAUAUUACUAGGGAUAUAACAUUAUAAAUAGUGUGUAACAUGCUUUAAAUAAUCUAAUGAAUCAAACAUUAUACAUACUAGAGAUAUAACAUUAUAGAGCAUUUUCUAUCUUUGGCAUGUCAGUAUAUUUUAAUGUUCUCUUACAAAAAUUGAAACAAACAUAAUCAUAAGAUAGUUACAGCACAGAAAAGGAUAGUAAAAACCAAUUAAGGGAUACAUGUAAUGUGUAACACCGCAUGUAAGACUGAACUGAUAAAUAUUUCAUACUAAAACAUCUAAAAGAAAAUGUUGUUUAAUAAUUAAUGUGUGAAAAAAUUGUCUUUUUUUAAAGAAAUUUAGCCAUGUUUCCCCAUGCCAUGAUAUAACAUUGACAGUGGGUUCUACACCUAGUAAUAUACCUUAAUCCACAAGAGAUUUCCUUUACCAUACAUGGCAUUCAUCAAAUAAUAAUCUAAGGCUUGAAAAAGAGCAAGUAAAGUACAAGGCAGCAAAGUAAAUGGAACGAACAAAGUUGUUUGGUCUCAUAAUCACAUAGCUUAAGAUUACUAUUACCUGCGAAACAUUGGUUACCAAUCUAGUGCACAUGUAGACUAGAGCAACUUGGUAGUACAAUACUUUCUUGAACCAGUGGGCCCAUGAAAUUCUGGAGAGGCUCUUAUCCUGAGAAGAUUGAUUUAACCUACAGAAUUCAAAGUUAGAAACAAACUGAAAAUAAAACAAAAGGAAAACAUACUGAAAGUUAAGAACAUGGGACUAUAACUUUGUAAUCUAGAUGUCCAAAUAAGGUUUUCAUCUUACCCUGGCUCUUUUGUUCCAAUCAAGAACGCGACAACAAAACAACAUCCGAUGGAAAUGGCCGUAUAAGCAAUCCAACGAUACUGAGCAAAAGGAUUUGAGAAAUUUAGGAUAAAAACAAGAACUCAGAUAAAUGAUACUUUCUCCAUUCACAAAUACAAGAUGUUUUGGAUAUUUCAAUAUGGACUAUAUACGGACUGAAAUGAGUGAAUAAACACACUAAAAUGUGUCUAUAUACAUCCGAUUCAGAAAAAAAGUUAGAACAUCUUAUAUAUGUUAACGGAGGGAGUAGUAUCUAGUAUGUAUUACUUAACACAAGAAAGUACCUGAACUAAUACACUCACUGACUGCAUUAGAGUAAAUAUCAACAAAGCAAUGCCAUACAAGCUAAGAUUUGCAACCUGGAAUAAGCAUGAAAAAUGAACAAGUCAGUGGCAGUUAUUUAGAUACCUGGACACAGUAAAAUCAAGGCAGAGUACGGUGUACCAUCGUGAAGGCAUUGCGGCAGCUCACUAGUGCAACCCGACUUGUAGGGUUUGACGUCAUGCAGUUCACCAUUGACCUUGGAAAUAUAUAAAAGAUAUACACAAAUGAUAUGCUGAAAUCACAAGAAAAGCAUGAAUGUAAGUAAUGCAAGGAAGGAGCAUUACAUGUGAGCGACUUGGGUAACUGCCCAACCAACAUUAAAAAUAGAGGCAAAUAUGCUGUAUCCAACAGUCUCCAGAGUAGAUGAGUUAGUCCCGGUGAGUUUGCAAGGCAAACAGCUACCAAAAACAGAUGAGAAGGAAAUUGCUACUAGGAUAGAUCCUCCUGCAUGCCACAGUUUGAAAUGUCCAAAACGAUCAAUCUGAAACAAAAACAAUUCAUUUAUGUAUCUACUUCAGAGCAAUACACAGUAAAUACAGAAAAAACUAGCACUGAAUGCCUGAGAGAAGCAAUCAAACAUAUAUUAUAUCAGAAACUUUUAACAGUCUGUAAUAUAAAUCCUGUUCAUUUUGCCUCAUACCAGCUCACCAACAAAGAUUGUUGUGAAGCCAUCCGCCAACUGACCGGAAAGCAUGACAAUAGCAGCAUCACUGCAGAGUUGAAUAAAAGGUGAAUUGUCUAAAAUAAUUCUGAAGUAACAAAUAAUUAUUUCAACCUUCUUCAACAUUUCAGGCAGAAUAUUUCUCAAAGCAUGAAGUGUCUAAAUGGUCCAUUUUCAAAUAGCAUAACAUAUAUAUAUAUAUGUUAUGCUAUUUGAAAAUGGACCAUUUAGACACUUCAUGCUUUGAGAAAUAUUCUGCCUGAAAUGUUGAAGAANUGAAGUUUAAUAUGAACAUAUAUCCGAUGCAUUUAUUUGCAUGAAGAGUUACAACGAUAGCUAUCAAGGAUUGCAGGAAUGUCUUCAUUCAAUAUGAUUUUGCAACAUUUGAAAGAACAGAAUAUAAUGAUUUAGAGUACAAAUGGAGAAGAAGAAAAAUUUAAUCCUAGUACAUACCUUGGACUAAGACCGACGUCCGUCAAGAAUACCAACAAAUACGUAAACCAACAAGAUGAUGUGAUAUCAUUUAGCAUAUGCCCAGAGCCAUAGGAAAAGAUUGGCACUCUUCCUAAUGGCUCGUCCCAUUCUAAUUCACUUGAUGGCUCAUUACCAAUCAUUUUAACCAUUACUUGACGUUGGCAAAACUAUGAAGUAUCACCUACAUUACACAGGAAAACACAUUUAAUUCAGUGUGUAAAUACAUGAUAUCACCUAAAAAGCACGGACACGGCAGGAAUUGCCGAUUGGGAGUCCUGAUACGGCAGGAUACGGCGACACGGCGGGAUACACGUAUCCCGCAGUAUCCCAUGAUUUUCGAUUUAAAAAGAAGAAGAAAAUUAAGGGAUACGGCGGGAUACGUCAGGGACACGGUGGGGAUACGGCCCGGAUAAGGAUCAGUCUGUUGGCUUUUGAACGUGCGUAUGCAGCUGUACAGGCGUGCCUACGCGAUUCUUGCUUCGGCCGGCUACUUGACGGAACUUGCGUAACUAGCGACACGAAUAAAACUGAUCGAUGGAUUUGAUGGCUAAAGGCCCGUGUCGAGCCUUUGCUUUGUAUUGCUUUUCGUUUUUCUGGUGUUACAAUCAACACCCCUAGGGUGUCUUUUAUACACGUCCACAAGGGACUAUGGAAAUAGACUAGGACUAGGAAUCCUAAUACUACUAGGACUCGGUUUGGCUUUCUUUCCUAAUCCUACAUGAGCAACAUGAUUAACAUCUACAUUCACCUCCUUAAUCUUGUUGCUUGACUUCACUUCUUGCACUCCGACUUUCCUCCUCAUCUCGAUGAACUUCUGUCGACCGAGGGACUUGGUGAAAAUAUCGGCAAGUUGGUCUUUCGUGUUCACAUGUUGAACCUCGAUCAGCCCUUCUUCAAUGCACUCCCGGAUAUGGUGGAACCGGGUAUCUAUGUGCUUGCUCCUUUCGUGAUGAACCGGAUUUUUGCACAACGAGAUUGCAGCUUGGUUAUCGAUCUUCAGUGACACCUUCUGCACCUCCCGCUUUGCAAGAAUAGCUAGGAGUCUUCUCAGCCACACUGCUUGACAAGCCGCCGUGCUUGCCGCUAUGUAUUCUGCCUCGCAUGAAGACAGUGCCACCACCUUUUGCUUCUGAGAAUUCCAGCUAAUCGGAUUCGGGCCAAGGUAGAAAACCAUGCCCGUUGUGCUCUUUCGGUCAUCAACAUCACCUGCCAUGUCGCUAUCUGAAUAUCCACGAAGGAUCAAUCCUUCCUUUCCCUUUCUGUACGUGCAACCAAGAUUAAUGGUGCCUUUCACAUAGCGCAAGAUUUGAUUGACCGCGCUCAUGUGCUCGGUUGUCGGAUUCUCCAUGAAACGACUCACGAUCCCGACUGAAUAAGCCAAGUCAGGUCGGGUAUGCACCAAAUAUCUUAGGCUGCCCACAACGCUUCGAUACAUUGUGGUGUCCACCGGCGGAUUUGAGCUACGCUUGCUCAACUUGUGACGUUGGUCCAUUGGAACUUGUGUCGCGUAGCAAUCUGACAUGCCACACUUGUCCAAUAACUUGACCGCGUAAGCCGAUUGACAUAGGGAAAUCUCUCCGGAGCUUUGCUUCACUUCGAUGCCCAAGUAAUAGCUGAAUAAUCCCAGAUCACUCAUGCUAAACUUGUUCUUCAUUUGCGCCUUGAAACGUUCAAUUUCUUGUACGCUAUCUCCGGUGAUAAUCAGAUCGUCGACAUAAACUCCAACUAGCAGGUUUGAGCCUUUGGAGUUCUUUGUAUAGACUGCGUGCUCGAGGGGACAUCUCUUGAACCCGAGCGAGACCAGACUUCGGUCUAACUUUGAGUUCCAAGCUCUUGGCGCUUGCUUCAACCCGUAAAGUGCCUUCUUGAGCUUGUAAACUUUCCCUUCUUCGCCUUUCUUCUCGUAGCCGAGGGGUUGUUCCACGUACACUUCUUCUGUGAGAUCGCCGUUGAGGAAAGCGGAUUUAACAUCCAUAUGAUGAACCUUCCAAUCCUCUUGUGCUGCCAAAGCUAGGAGCACUCUCACCGUCUCGAUUCGAGCAACCGGUGCAAACACCUCAUCAUAGUCAACUCCUUGACGUUGAACGUAGCCCUUUGCAACGAGUCUUGCCUUGUACUUCACAAUGGCACCCUCCGUGUCCUUCUUUAACUUGUAAACCCACUUCAAACCUAUCGUCUUUUGGUUUGGAGGUCGGGUUACCAAAGUCCACGUGCCAUUGCUCUCAAUUGCCUUCAUCUCCUCAUCCAUGGCGUGCGUCCAGCUAGGACUUUUGCUCGCCUCUACGAAGUUCGCCGGCUCCUCAACUCCGAACAGACAUAGUCCGGAGUACUCAAGCGUAACUGGCUUUGUGUACUUGUAGACUUUCUUGAGGGUCUUGUAGCGACGAGGCCCUGAGGAGUCCGUUGUGGCUUGCGAAGGAGGCGACACAAAUUGUGUCGGUGUUGAUGCACUUGAGGAAGACGGCUGAGACCCUGGUGUGUCAUCGACAUCCGUGUCGUCGGCGUAGUCGUCGUGACCGUGACCAUCAUCUUGAUUGUCGUCGUCACUAUGCGCCUCGUUGUCGAUGUUGUCGUCGAGAUCUCCGCCUGUGUCGUGCGCGGCGUUGUCGUUAUCUCCUUGCGACCUAUGCGCGUCGUUGUCGGUGUCGGCACCAUGAUGAUCACUACCAUUGUGGUCACCUUGGUUGGGCGUCUUGCCAACCACCUGGACAUCCUCCCCUGCAUCAUCAUCAGUUGGAAAUUCAACUGCAAAUAUGUUACUGUUUGGAGCAUCGUCGGCUGCGGCGCUCCAAUUCCACGCUUGGUUUUCUUCAAACACGACAUCGCGUGAAAUCCGUAGACGCUUGGUUUGUGGAUCGUAGAAACGGUAUGCCUUGGUGCCAGAACUGCUCUCGUAUCCGAUGAACACCAUCUUGGUGCUACGAUCGGCAAGCUUUGAGAGAUGCGGCUCCGCCGUCUUCACAUGUGCCACGCACCCGAAUGUCUGUAGAUGAGACACAUUCGGCUUACGUCCGUAAAUUGCUUCAUACGGAGUCUUGCCGACCACCGCCUUCGUUGGAGCCCGGUUGAGAAGAUAGACCGCCGUCGAGACAGCUUCUCCCCAAAAAAUCCCCGGCAGGUUCUUGCUCUUGAGUAAACUCCUUGCCAUGUCAACGACGGUUCGAUUACGCCUUUCAACGACCCCAUUCUGCUGCGGCGUGUAAGGUGCCGUGAGGAACCUCUUUAUGCCAAUCUUCUCGCAGUAGUCGUUGAACUCAUUCGACGUAAACUCUCCGCCGCGAUCUGUCCGUAGAGCGCGAACCUUCAGCUUGUGUUCCAUCUCCGUUGCAGCCUUCAGCUUCUUGAACGCUUCAAACGCCUCAUCUUUAGACCGUAGGAGAACGACCCACAUAUAUCUCGAGUAGUCGUCUACCACAAGGAAGAAAUACUUCUUUCCAGCGUGAGUUGCCGGGGUGAUAGGGCCACAUAGAUCACCAUGGAGCAGCUCGAGUGCAUCACUUGCACGAUAGGUAGACUGAGCAGGGAAUGGCCUGCGGUGCUGUUUUCCAACCAAGCACCCGUCACAUACUCGAUCAACAUGGUCGAUAACUGGCAUCCCGGAUACCAUCUCCAUCUUUGACAUCUUCUUCAAGGCGUAGAAGUUAACGUGUCCAAAUCUAGCAUGCCAUAACCACGAAUCAUCAUCACUCUUGGCGAGCCAACACUCUGGUUGAGAUUGAUCAAGGUUGAGGAUAUAGAGCCUAUUCCGUGUGCGAUUAACACGAGCUAGCACGUUUCGGAAGUUGUCGAAGAUCGUCAUCACUCCGCUCUCUAUAUUCACCUUGCAUCCAUUCUCGUCAAGCUUCCCAAUAGAGAUGAUGUUGUUGCGCAGCCGUGGGAUGUAGUACACUCCGGUGAGUAUGCGAUGUUCGCCUGUGAGACCCUCAAAGAGGACAGAUCCUUGCCCGCAAAUCUCCACAGCUGAACCAUCACCGAACUUGACCGAGCCUUCAACAUCGUAUUCCAGCUCGAGGAAUUUCUCCUUGCACCCCGUCAUGUGGUUACUGGCACCCGUGUCGAGAUAUCACGACACGUUCUGAUCACCGGAUAACUUUGGUGUCACUUUUUCCUCAUGAAGUAGCACCUUCCGGCUUGGUUUCACAACCACCGUUUCAGCGAGAUCACAAACUUCGGCCAUCAGAAGACCUGGACCUUCGUCUUCCUGCUUUGCCAAAUUUGCCUUGAUCUCCCGCUUGUUAGGCUUUGGACAAUCCUUCGCAAAGUGACCCAUCUUAUUGCAGUUAUAGCACUUGACCUCGGACAAGUCCAAGUUCCGUGGUUUCUGCUCUUUAGAUUGGCCCGCCUUACCACGACCUUGUGGUUUGCCUUUUCCUUUGCCUUUUCCAUUUUGUCCAUCGCCCUUCGUGUUGCUUGAGCCUUCGCCACCGUCACGCCUUCCUUUGCUACUUGGGGCCUCCCAAUCUGUGCGCGAGUACAUGAGUUGGUCACUACCUCCUCCUUUGCCUUUCCGACAGCCACGAGCAUUCUCUUCCCAUGUCCGCAAUCGUCCGAUCGCCUCCGUUAUGGUCAUGUCGUCGAUGUCGUAAAGCUGCUCGAGCGUGCCGAUGAUGUACGUGAAUUUAUCAGUGACAGAACUGAAAAAUUUCUCCACGAUCUCGGUCUCAUCGAGCUUUGCACCAAGCGCGCGGAUCUCUCCCACCAAAGUAGUAAGACGCAUGGCGUAGUCAUUCACAGAUUCAGUUUCCUCCAUCUGCAACUUGUGAAAUUGGCGCUUCAGCACUUGUGCCCGAGCCUUGGUGACGCGAUCUUUUCCGAUCCUCAUCUCCUUGAGUGCGUUCCACGCCUCUCUUGCCGUCUCGAACUCCGCCAAUGUCAUCAGCAUGGAAUCCGGCACAGACUGGGCUAUGGCGGCCAUGGCACCUUCGUCGCGCUCCUCGUCGACGUCGUCGUCCGUGAUGGCCUCCCACACUCGAAGGGAUCGAAGAAUAAUCUUCAUCUUCACCGCCCACACGCCGUAGUUGGCGUCGGUGAGCAUUGGGUACUGGAUGGGGAUGUUGCGAUGCGCCUGGACGUUAGCGCCGCUCGUUCCUCCACCACUGGUUGCUGACUUGACGCCCUUCUUCACCUUGUCGCCAUUCUUGUUCGCCUUGGCACCGCCGCUGCCGGACUUGACCGACUCAGCGUCGCUGUCCGUCAUCGUAGAUCGUAGAUCGUCGAGGCUCUAGAUACCAAUUGUUGGCUUUUGAACGUGCGUAUGCAGCUGUACAGGCGUGCCUACGCGAUUCUUGCUUCGGCCGGCUACUUGACGGAACUUGCGUAACUAGCGACACGAAUAAAACUGAUCGAUGGAUUUGAUGGCUAAAGGCCCGUGUCGAGCCUUUGCUUUGUAUUGCUUUUCGUUUUUCUGGUGUUACAAUCAACACCCCUAGGGUGUCUUUUAUACACGUCCACAAGGGACUAUGGAAAUAGACUAGGACUAGGAAUCCUAAUACUACUAGGACUCGGUUUGGCUUUCUUUCCUAAUCCUACAUGAGCAACAUGAUUAACAUCUACACAGUCAAGCACUUGAUAAAAGAGACACCGAAUGGGGCAGUAUUCUCUAUUCUACUCUCUUUCUCUUUAAUUUUCUGUACUAACUAUAUUAUAUGGCAUAUUUUUAUUUUAUUUUAUAUAUACCGACCGUAUCCCUGAAUGGCUGUUUUUGGAAAAUGCCGUGUCCCGUAUCCCCGUAUGUGUAUGCCCGUCUUUCCAUCCCCGUGUCCGUGCUUUUUAGGAUAUCACUCCCCACUUCCAAGAAAAAGAAUUGUACUGCAAGUUUUUUUUUAGGUUCUAUGGCAAGUGGUGAUAAUGUCCGCAUGCUGCUUUCAAGGCUCGAGAAACAGAUUGCUUAUAACCGAAAUUUCAGUUUUAUCAAUAGUAAUAUCUGGAUCAAUAAAGUGACAAAAAUCAUAGUUAUAAGAUCGGAUAAUUGCGAAUUAUUUACAUGAUGCCAAAACUCAAAAGCAACAAUCAUAUGUUGUCUGUGGUACUUAGUGCAAGGUCUCAAGCUAUAUCAAACGAGCAUGGACUUCUUACUUUUACUGUUAAUGUCAUUCAGCAAUAAAUGCAAGGUAUAGACCAAAUUACAAGUGCCAACUGGCAAGGCAUUCAUGUUUUCUGGACUCCAAAAGAUAGUAAAAGCAUUUGAUUGGUGUCAAGUUAGAAAGGAUUAGUGAAAUUUCCAGGUGAUGCAAUGAUACAGAAAGAAGGUCCCUCCCACGAGAGAAAGUAAAGUUGAGACUCUGCUUUCUUUCUACUCCCCGCUUUCCUCUCUACCUUUCCCUCCUACCUGAUCCUAAUGCAUAUGAACAAAGGGAGCGAAUUCCAACAUGUGCACCUUGACGCCGUGACUGUGGGCACUGACACCAAGCAUUAAAAUAUUAACUGAACUCACGAAAAUACCAGAUUUCUGAUCCUCGUAUAUACUACUCUACAGACUAACGAAAUCAACAAAACUGCAGAAAGCCGCCUUAGGCAAGAUAUAUUUGUAGUUAUCAAGACAAGAUAGCUCCGAAAUGGCCAAUCCGCCGCGUUUGCACGAGACGGCCCCCAAAUCCCGAAAUCCCACGGCGGUCAGGUCAACGAGAAGCCCCUGCGGGCAGCCAGCAACCGACCCACGCAGACCCAAAUCAGGAGAGAAAAAACCCCGGAGCUAGCCGAUCAAACAGGCACCAGUGGAGAAGCUCUCACCAGCAGCCGCGGCGUGGUAAUCGCCGCCCGUUCGGACCUGCGCAAGGACCCGUCCCGAAGAGCGUCGGGGCCGCCGGGGAAGACUAUGUUUCCAACGAGUAUAUUCGGGGGAAAAAAAGAAGGAGAGGGGAAGCGAGCGCCGGGUAUUGGCUGCGGGGGACGUCGCGUGGACGGCAGGCGGAGAGGGCGGAGCGACGCGACAGAGACGGGCGGAUUCGGUGCUGCCGGAGAAGAGAGGCGAGCCGAGCCGACGGGAAAGGCAGUGGGGCGGGGGGAGAGGCGACUAUUGGGUGGGGCUGGGCCGCCUCUAUCCGAGAAAGACGGAUAGGAGAGUGGACGGACGGUCAGGAUACGAUGUUCUUGGUGGAACUUGUGGCGCGCCGCGCGUCCGCGGCCGCGGGGGCGAAGAGAGAGAGAGGAGUGUCCCGGUACGGCGAGAUUCAUGCCAUGUUUGCCGUGCGGAUCGUGUGAAUGGGUCUUGUUUGUUGGUCAGUGGCCGACUACCGAAGCCUCGUCGUUGUGUUACUUCCAAAGGAAGAAAACGGGCUACGGGUUUGUGAAUUUUAUUCGAUUUGCGAUCUGGCGAGAUUGUCAAACAAGACGGAGCACCUGCUUCUUCUUGGCUGGAGCUCAGUCGGCGAGGUCUUAUAUACUUAUAUACUAGUAGUACUACUGUAUAAGAGACAGCCAGCGCGCGUGCAGUUUAGACUUUGAGAGGAAUCAUCGGGUACGCUAAACCUGUAUUUGUAUUCUUCGGAAUGCCUAUAGAUUGCGUAUGGAGAGCGACCCUGCAAAAACUAGGGUCGUUUUCUAGUGAACAGCUACGCCCCUCUGCGCUGACUUUUGGAGAUCCGCUGGCAUUUGGGGGUGGAGCUCUAGUGGGCCACGUUGUGCAAUAUGAUUCGCUUGCACAUAUCAUAAAUAAACACGGUAAAGGAUGAAAUCAUUAAUUAGGAAGUAUUUCUUUCGAAGAUCGUUUUCACCUUUUCACAUUUUAACAAGUGACUCAUUACAUGCGUACCAUUUAUCGCAAUCUUGGAUUUUUUUAUUUUCGUAGGUUCAUAUUUUCAAAACAUUUUAUCUCCUAAAUCGUGCAUCUAAAUCUCGAACCGUUUUGAUCGUUGGAUUUUCCGUGUUGAGAUCUUUAAAACUAGAUCACAUGUUGAUAAGUUUUCACUAACUUUUUUUAAUGAAAAAAAUCGAACCAAAAAACCGUACCUCUCGCGAUAGAAAAGAAAUAGAAAACGUGUUUUUCCCCUUUCGGAGAGGCACGACCGUGCCUCUCAUGGAGGCAAAAUCGUGCCUCUAACGGAAGCAAAAUCAUGCCUCUUGCAGAAAAAAGCACGUUUUUUUUCCUUUUAAGAGGCACGGGCGUGCCUCUCACGAAGGCAAAACCGUGCCUCUCGCGGGAGCAAAGUCGUGCCUCAUACAGAAAAAACAGAAAACACGUUUUUCUCCUUUCUGACCGUGCCUCUCGCGAAGGCAAAAACCAUGCCUCUCGUGGAAGCAAAAUCGUCCCUCUCGCAAAAAAAACGAAAACGCGUUUUUUUGUUUCCAGAAGGCACGGUCGUGCCUCUCUCGUGAAGGCAAAACCGUACCUCUCACAAAAAAACAGAAAACGCGUUUUUUCGUGAAAAAAAAUCGCCAGAAAUCUAAGAAAGACGAUAAAAAACAAAAACACCAAAANNNNNNNNNNNNNNNNNNNNNNNNNNNNNNNNNNNNNNNNNNNNNNNNNNNNAACACCAAAAAAUAAAACAAUCUAAAAAGCCAAAAAUGCGUGCGAAAAAAUAAACAAAAAACCGAAAGAAGCGCUCAGAGCGCGACAUGUGACGACGGCUGAGAACGCGCUAAAUGACAGUGCGCGAAAGUGUUCGGUGGGAGGCUCCCGAAAGAGCGCUCGCUAACUAGUGGCUUCCGAUGAAAGGGGAAAUUCUUUCCAGGUCAUACGAGCCCCAACAUAGGAAAAUGUACAAACAUGACCAAAGUAACGAUGUGACCGUUCAAAAAAAGUAAUGAUGUGUGGAGUUUGAACUCUAUUAGAGCGUCGAUAGGCUAAUUUCGGCCCCAGAAUGCCUACGGACGCGUUCCGUUGUCUAUAGAUUUUGAUGCGAUUAUAUAUUUUAUGUUCAUACUGCACAUGUAACAUGAGCUACUCUACGUGAUCAAAGAACGGACAAACAUAUCGGUUAUAAACGAUAACAAGAUCUAGUGCAAACGGACAUAAACAAACUUUGCAUCAUUCAAAAGAUCAUCUAAGUUCGUCACCAGACAAGUUCUUAAACUUCGACAACUGAAAAUGAUAUAAACAUAUGAGGAGGGGUGGGAUCACCACUUCCUCACCGGGCCUUUGCCCCUUCGGUCAUCGGUGCAACUGUAGGCAUCCGCGGCUGGUGGGGUGGAGGCUUGGUUAUCGGAGAAGGAGGUGCAGCUGUCGCCGUCACCGUUGUCGUGGACGGAGUUGGAGAGGUCGAUCAACCCCUUCAUCCGACGGACCGUCUUGUCCCGCUCCCGCUUCAAUUUGGCAACCCGAGUCUCCUCCGUCGUUGCCUCCUUUUCCUCGCACUCUGACUGCUCAAUGGCAAGCCGGAGCGCCUUCGGGUUCUUCUGCCUUAGGCUGCGAGGUUCUGUCUUCGUCGUCUGAUGACCCAUAAGUAUAGGGGAUCAAUCGUAGUCCUUUCGAUAAGUAAGAGUGUCGAACCCAACGAGGAGCAGAAGGCUCUGAUAAACGGUUUUCAGCAAGGUAAUAACUGCAAGCACUGAAAGUAGCGGUAACAAGUGAUGGUGUAGUGAGGUGAAACGUAGCAGGUGAAAAGUAACAAAUAACAAGUAGUAGCAACGGUGCAGCAAAGUGGCCCAAUCCCUUUUGUAGCAAGGGACAAGCCUGAACAAAGUCUUAUAGGAGGAAAAACGCUCCCGAGGACACAUGGGAAUUUCUGUCAUGCUAGUUUCAUCAUGUUUAUAUGAUUCGCGUUCGUUACUUUGAUAGUUUGAUAUGUGGGUGGACCGGCGCUUGGGUACUGCCCUUACUUGGACAAGCAUCCCACUUAUAAUUAACCCCUCUCGCAAGCAUCCGCAACUACGAAAGAAGAAUUAAGACAACGUCUAACCAUAGCAUUAAACUAGUGGAUCCAAAUCAGCCCCUUACGAAGCAACGCAUAGACUGGGGUUUAAGCUUCUGUCACUCUAGCAACCCAUCAUCUACUUACUACUCCCCAAUGCCUUCCUCUAGGCCCAAAUAUGGUGAAGUGUUAUGUAGUCGACGUUCACAUAACACCACUAGAGGAAAAGACAACAUACAACAUAUCAAAAUACCGAACGAAUACCAAAUUCACAUGACUAUUAUCAGCAUGACUUAUCCCAUGUCCUCAAGAAUAAAAGUAACUACUCACAAAGCAUAAUCAUAAUCAUGAUCAGAGGUGUAAUGAGUAGCAUCAAGGAUCUGAACAUAAACUCUUCCACCAAGUAAUCCAACUAGCAUCAACUACAAAGAGUAAUCAACACUACUAGCAACCUUACAAGUACCAAUCGGAGUCGUGAGACGGAGAUUGGUUACAAGAGAUGAACUAGGGUUUGGAGAGGAGAUGGUGCUGAUGAAGAUGUUGAUAGAGAUGAGUCCACUCCGACGAGAGGAGUGUUGGUGAUGACGAUGGCGACGAUUUCCCCCUCCGGGAGGGAAGUUUCCCCGACAGGAUCGUCCUGCCGGAGCUCUAGAUUGGUUCUACUCAAGUUCCGCCUCAUGGAGGCGGAGAAUCCACAAAAAAGCUCCACCCUGAUUUUUUUUCCGGACGAAACCCUUCAUAUAGCAAAAGAGGAAGCCCUGUUGCCGCGGCGAGGGGGGAGGCCGCGGCCACCAGGCUUGUGGGCCCCUGGCAGCUCCCCUGAGACACUUCUUUCGCCCAGUAUUUGUUAUAUAUUCCCAAAAAAUUCCACGUUGAUUUUCAGGGCAUUUGGAGUUGCGCGGAAUAGAGGACUCAAACUUGCUCCUUUUUUAGUCCAGAAUUCCAGCUGCCGGUAUUCUCCCUCUUCAAAUAAACCUUGCAAAAUAAGAGAGAAAAGGCAUAAGUAUGGUACCACAAAGUAUAAUAACAGUUCAUAAAGCGAUAAAUAUCAACAUGAAAGCAUGAUGCAAAAUGGACGUAUCAACUCCCCCAAGCUUAGACCUCGCUUGUCCUCAAACGAAACCAAGAUCCAUAAACAUGUCCACCUGUUUAGGGAUGAAGGUGUCGAUAAAACAUAAUACGGACAUGAGGGCAUCAUGAUCACACAUAGGACAGCAAUAUGUCAUAAAGAUUCUUAUGGGAAAGUGACAAUUCCUUCACAAAGCAAAGUAUGAAACAAAAACCUUACCGAGAAGUAGCCAACAACAGUCCAUAGUCAUUGAAGCAAUUGCAAUUUAUCAAAUCAUCAGAAAGAGUCAAAUAAGAGCUUGUAAAACAAAUCCACAUACUCAAUCAUCUCUUUUGUUUUCCACAAUUGUUACAACUCACGUGGUACUCAUGGUAUCAAAGUUUCAGUUGGACACAGAGAAAGAUAGGGGCUUAUAAUUUUGCCUCCCAACCAUUUACCUCAAGGGUAAAGUCAACAAUAGUAAAGCAUAAGUACUCAUCUCCAAGUUGAUAUAUGAAUAUAGAUCUUUCCCAAGCAUAUGACAUUCACCAAGAUGAAGGCGGAAUAGGGAAUUGGUGUUGAUCACCAUGACUCUUUCAAGGGCAAAAAGUAAAGGUACAAGAUAGGCCCUUCGCAGAGGGAAGCAGAGGUUGUCAUGCGCUUUUGAGGUUUGGAUGCGUGUCCUCUUAGUGCGGAGGAACGUCACUUUAUAUUGCCCCCUGUGAUAAAGAACUUUAUUAUGCAGUUUGUCGCUUUUAUGUCUUCCUCAUCACAGGUUCGUAUAAAGCUUAUUUUCCACACACUAAUAGAUCAUACAUAUUAGAGAGCAAUUUUUAUUGCUUGCACCGAUGAUAACUUACUUGAGGGAUCUUAUUCAAUCCAUAGGUAGGUAUGGUGGACUCUCAUGGCAAAAACUGGGUUGAAGGUUUAUGGAUGCAUAAGUAGUAUCUCUACUUGGUGCGGGAGUUUUGGCUAAUAUGAGGUGGAAGCAAUCGUCACAUGCUAAGGGAUCUCUAAACAUAUAACAUUGUUUGGAACCAAGCAAACAGAAUUCAUUAUGUUGUCUUCCUUGUCCAACAUCUACUUCUAAGCAUGUAAUAGUUUG